rnacentral:rRNA from 1 species
ACUUUCCUACGGGAGGCAGCAGUGGGGAAUAUUGGGCAAUGGGCGCAAGCCUGACCCAGCAACGCCGCGUGAAGGAAGAAGGCUUUCGGGUUGUAAACUUCUUUUCUCAGGGACGAAGAAAGUGACGGUACCUGAGGAAUAAGCCACGGCUAACUACGUGCCAGCAGCCGCGGUAAUACGUAGGUGGCAAGCGUUAUCCGGAUUUACUGGGUGUAAAGGGUGUGAAGGCGGGACUGCAAGUCAGAUGUGAAAA